UAAAGUUGUAAUACAUAUAACUUCAUUAGAAUACAUGUAACAGCCAAAUACCUAUUGUAGGACUCUCUAUUAAGUCCAUCUCUACGUAUAUAUAUUCCCCUUUGUAUCAGCAAGCAAGAGCAACGAUUGAGAAACAGAAAAUACAAGAAACAGUGUGUUCUAAGCCAUAUUUUCUUUAUGGUAUCAAAGCACUAGGCUGAAAACCAAUGAUCCUGAAGUUCCCUUCCUCGCAAAACAACCAUGGUUGUUUCUUCUAGCAUAACCCUAGCCCUCGCACCUUCUUAACUUCACCAACUCAUCUCGAUCUGUCUCUUUAAACUAAAACUAUCAAAUUACCUUGUUUGGAGGACACAAAUCGUUCAACUUAUGCAGACUUUAAAAGUCCACAAGAUCGUUAAAGAGGAGCCCCCAUCCGAGAACAUACAGGAUGAGAAAGGAGAUGUCAAUUCAAACCCAAAAUUCACUGAAUGGAAAGAAUGUGAAGUUCUUGUUAGGAGUUGACUCUCCACAACCACAACAACGACAGACGUGUCGAUGUUCCUCAUCAUUGGUUGCUCUACUGCAGGAAAAAUAUGGAGUUGCCUUGAGGAUACAUAUCUACAAGCGAGCAAAGACAAGGAAUUUCAGUUGAAGCAACAACUUCAAACUGUGAAACUAGGGUCCAAAUCGAUUGUUGAAUACAUAAAGGAGUUUAAGGAAAUCUGUGAUAGCCUCAUGGCUAUUCAAAAACCAUUGGAUGAAGAUAGAAAAGUAAUUAACUUUGCUAGAGGUCUUGGUAGUAAAUACAAGACCAUUCGCACUGUGAUGCUUGGUAAAGCACCAUAUCCCAACUUUAAUCAGUUUAUAAAUGCCCUUAGAGGUUUUGAGAUAAGGGAAGAUUGAGAGGAGCAAGUGACACAGGCAAAUCUUGACUCAGCCGUAGCUUUUAUGGGACAGAGAACACAAGGACGAGGUCGAAGCAAUUCUUUUAGAGAAAGAGGAAACCAAAGAGGAAGAGGAAAUAGAGGAGGUUUUAACCAAAGGCCAUUCAAUACACAAUUUUGACCAAGUCAACCGAAGGAAAACUCCAAAAAUAAUCCUUGUCAAAUUUGUGGAAGGAACAACCAUAUGACACUUCUUUAUUUUUAUAGAUGGGAUUACUCCUAUCAAGCACAACAAGAGGUUCCACAAGCUUUAUUAUCUAUGACGCUUUCCGAUCAACAUGAUAGUCAUCUUUACAUGGAUUCAUAAACUACCAACCACAUGGUGAACUCUUCAGGACAGGAAAAUGGGAAAAGUUCUGGCAAAAGGGAAUAGAAGUCAUGACUUGUACGCCCUGGAAGGAAAUUUACAUAAGGCAUUAACAACUACAAGAGCAGAGAAGAAUUCAAAAACAAUAUGGCAUCAAAGAUUAGGACAUCCACAAUAAAAAAUUCUUAGCUUUUUACAUAGCAAUAAAAUGAUUGAUGUUAAAAGAUGGAAUAAAAUUUUUCUGUUUGCUCUAGUUGUCAAAUGGGCAAAUGUUGUAAGUUACCCUUUCAAGUGUCGAAUAAAAGAGAAAUUGAGGCAUUGGCAAAAAUGUA